AGAGUUUGAUCCUGGCUCAGGAUGAACGCUGGCGGCGUGUCUGAGGCAUGCAAGUCGGGAGGGUUUAGACCCUCGGCAGACGGGUGCGUAAGACAGUGGUAAUUUACCCCAAAGUCUGGAAUAACCCACCGAAAGGUGGAAUAAUGCCGGAUGGACAAGGGGGGACAUAAGUCAUUCCCUUGUAAAGAUUUAUCGCUUCGGGAGAAGCCUUUGGCCCAUCAGCUAGUUGGUGAGGUAAUAGCUCACCAAGGCAACGACGGGUAGCGGGUGUGAGAGCAUGACCCGCCUCACUGGAACUGAAACACUGUCCAGACUCCUACGGGAGGCUGCAGUCGAGAAUCUUCCCCAAUGGACGAAAGUCUGAGGGAGCGACGCCGCGUAACCGAAGAAGAUCUUCGGAUUGUAAAGGUUUUUUAUCUAGGAAAAAUUUGUGAUGGUACUAGAUGAAUAAGGGGCUGCUAACUUCGUGCCAGCAGCAGCGGUAAUACGAAGGCCCCGAGCGUUAUCCGGAUUUAUUGGGCGUAAAGAGCUAAAAGGUGGUUUGGUAAGUCAAGGGUAAAAGCCUCUGACUCAAUCAGAGGAAUAUCCUCGAAACUGCCAAACUUGAGGAUGGGAGAGGCAAGCGGAAUGGCUGGUGGAGCAGUAAAAUGCGUUGAUAUCAGCUAGAACACCAAUGGCGAAAGCAGCUUGCUGGAACAUACCUGACGCUACAUAGCGAAAGCGUGGGGAGCGAAUGGGAUUAGAUACCCCAGUAGUCCACGCCGUAAACGCUGGAUACUAGGUAUUGGGAGUUCGACCCUCUCAGUAUCGUUUAGCUAACACGUUAAGUAUCCCGCCUGGGGAGUACGAGCGCAAGCUUAAAACUCAAAGGAAUUGACGGGGACCCGCACAAGCGGUGGAGCAUGUGGUUUAAUUCGACAAUAAGCGAGGAACCUUACCAGGAUUCAUCUUACAGAAGUUCUAGGAAACUAGGAUGUGCCUUUGGAACUGUAAGAAUGGUGCUGCAUGGUUGUCGUCAGCUCGUGUCGUGAGAUGUACCGUUAAGUCGGGAAACGAGCGCAACCCCUACUUUAUGUUAAAUAUUCAUAAAGGACUGCCUGGGAUAACCAGGAGGAAGGCGGGGAUGACGUCAAAUCAGCAUGGCCCUUAUGUCCUGGGCGACACACGUGCUACAAUGGGUAGAAACAAUGGGACGCCAAGCCGCAAGGCGGAGCAAAUCCCACCAAAACUACCCUCAGUUCGGAUUGAGGGCUGCAAUUCGCCCUCAUGAAGUUGGAAUCGCUAGUAAACGCAUAUCAGCCAUGGUGCGUUGAAUACGUUCUCGGGUCUUGUACACACCGCCCGUCACGUCAAGAGAGCCGGUAAUACCCGAAUAAUGGUCUUGUAUCGUUAGAAGGUAGGACUGGUGAUAGGGGCGAAGUCGUAACAAGGUAACC
rnacentral:rRNA from 1 species